rnacentral:piRNA from 1 species
UUGCACUGCCUCAUACAUUACCUGUCUC